GCCCAUGAUACGUUAAGCAGCGGCAGUUUGAGCGUCUGCAAGUGGAAGGAGGAAGUGGGUAAAAUAACAAUGUAGAGAUACGUUACAUACUCACGGUAUGACCCAGUCAUUCUAACAGCUCAGCAUUUGUCUAAGGGCAGAAACUGUUCCCACAAACGCUUGGAGAUGAUGUUCACAGCAGCUUUAGUGCAAAUCCCAGUGCCUGUCAAGAGGUGUGUGUAGGGGAUUACAGUGUUUGUAACUGUGGGUACCCGUAAAAAGUCUGAAUGCCCCAGAACUUUG